GGUGCUGUUAUGUGUCAUAAAGUGAUGUCUAAAGUCAUCAUGACGUGGUGGCAUGUGGAAAGGAGGUGGGCACUGAACUCACGUGGGCUGGGAGAGACCAGUGCUACCCCUGGAUUGGCCAUAAUGAGGAGAGAUAUCCCAGGACAAGGAGGUAAAGGAGCCCGGUGUGGAGGUGCAGAGGAGGAAGAGCUGCAGCCAAGCAGCUCCAUCCCAGGGCAGGCCUCCCUCCAGAAGGAUUUUCCUUUGACCUCAGCUAAUGAAAUGAUCCAGAUCAGUGACUGGGGAAAGCAGCCUCAGGACAAAGUUCAAGCCUUUUUCUUCUCAACAGGCUCUCUGUGACAGUUCCUAUUCAG